ACUCCUACGGGGAGGCAGCAGGUGGGAAUAUUGCACGAAUGGCGCAAGCCUGAUGCAGCCAUGCCGCGUGUGUGAAGAAGGCCUUCGGGUUGUAAAGCACUUUCAGUCGUGAGGAAGGUAGUGUAGUUAAUAGCUGCAUUAUUUGACGUUAGCGACAGAAGAAGCACCGGCUAACUCCGUGCCAGCAGCCGCGGUAAUACGGAGGGUGCGAGCGUUAAUCGGAAUUACUGGGCGUAAAGCGCAUGCAGGUGGUUUGUUAAGUCAGAUGUGAAAGCCCGGGGCUCAACCUCGGAAUUGCAUUUGAAACUGGCAGACUAGAGUACUGUAGAGGGGGGUAGAAUUUCAGGUGUAGCGGUGAAAUGCGUAGAGAUCUGAAGGAAUACCGGUGGCGAAGGCGGCCCCCUGGACAGAUACUGACACUCAGAUGCGAAAGCGUGGGGAGCAAACAGGAUUAGAUACCCUGGUAGCUACGAGU
rnacentral:rRNA from 1 species